UACAGAGGUCCCAAGCGUUGUUCGGAUUCACUGGGCGUAAAGGGUGCGUAGGUGGUGAGGUAAGUCGGAUGUGAAAUCUCCGGGCUUAACCCGGAAACUGCAUUGGAAACUACCUUGCUGGAGGGUUUGAGGGGGGACUGGAAUUCUCGGUGUAGCAGUGAAAUGCGUAGAUAUCGGGAGGAACACCAGUGGCGAAGGCGGUUACCUGGAGCUUUGCUGACGCUGAUGCGCGAAAGCGUGGGGAGCGAUCCGG
rnacentral:rRNA from 1 species